CUGAUGAAGUGGGACCUGAAGCAGGAAACAGAAGACAAACAAUGUCCAUGGAGGUGCAGAGUUGUGAUGCCCCUUGUCUCCCAGCCAUCUCUCAGGGCGAUGACCUUAGCGAUCACCCGGUAUGGGCGGCAAGGUGAAGGCAUGCAUUUCAUCAGCCAUAGCACAGACAGACAGACAGACACCAAGAUCUUCUCUGGAGCUCCCUCUGUUGAUCAAAUGCAUCUGAUCUCAUCAAAGCGGACCCUCUGCUCAUUCAAGUCCCAGCAGACACCCUGGCUUCUUUACUAAGCACUAUUUUACAUUCAUGUUUGAAUACCAUUGAUGGGAUAGCAUAUCUUGUAGACUUUGGUUUUGUGUGGUCCAACAUUGCAGCCUCGGGUUGUCCCCCCCCCCCCCCCUCUUUUUUUAAAGUCAUUACAAUUUCAGACAAGUUUUGACAAAGUAAAUCCAAUGAAGGAGAUUAAAGAAAAAAAAUGAGGCAUAGCUUUAAUAUUCGACCAC
ensembl:lncRNA